rnacentral:rRNA from 1 species
GUGGGGAAUCUUCCGCAAUGGACGAAAGUCUGACGGAGCAACGCCGCGUGAGUGAUGAAGGUCUUCGGAUUGUAAAGCUCUGUUAAUCGGGACGAAAGAGCCUAGUGUGAAUAAUGCUAGGAAGUGACGGUACCGGAAUAGAAAGCCACGGCUAACUACGUGCCAGCAGCCGCGGUAAUACGUAGGUGGCAAGCGUUGUCCGGAAUUAUUGGGCGUAAAGCGCGCGCAGGCGGAUCUGCCAGUCUGUCUUAAAAGUUCGGGGCUUAACCCCGUGAUGGGAUGGAAACUACAGAUCUAGAGUAUCGGAGAGGAAAGUGGAAUUCCUAGUGUAGCGGUGAAAUGCGUAGAUAUUAGGAGGAACACCAGUGGCGAAGGCGACUUUCUGGACUGUACCUGACGCUGAGGCGCGAAAGCGUGGGGAGCGAACAGGAUUAGAAACCCGGGUAGUCC